rnacentral:rRNA from 1 species
AUUGAACGCUGGCGGCAGGCUUAACACAUGCAAGUCGAGCGGGGAAGGGUAGCUUGCUACCUGACCUAGCGGCGGACGGGUGAGUAAUGCUUAGGAAUCUGCCUAUUAGUGGGGGACAACAUUCCGAAAGGAAUGCUAAUACCGCAUACGCCCUACGGGGGAAAGCGGGGGAUCUUCGGACCUUGCGCUAAUAGAUGAGCCUAAGUCAGAUUAGCUAGUUGGUGGGGUAAAGGCCUACCAAGGCGACGAUCUGUAGCGGGUCUGAGAGGAUGAUCCGCCACACUGGGACUGAGACACGGCCCAGACUCCUACGGGAGGCAGCAGUGGGGAAUAUUGGACAAUGGGCGAAAGCCUGAUCCAGCCAUGCCGCGUGUGUGAAGAAGGCCUUUUGGUUGUAAAGCACUUUAAGCGAGGAGGAGGCUACUUGGAUUAAUACUCUAGGAUAGUGGACGUUACUCGCAGAAUAAGCACCGGCUAACUCUGUGCCAGCCGCCGCCGUAACAC